CUUACAUAUUUUAGCAGUCGAAGGAGAAUCUAUUAACGAAGUUGAAUCUGAUUCAAUACAUCUUACUUAAUAAUAACAAAAUAGAUCGUGUUACUUGAAAGAGAUGGACAAGAGGCACCGCAUUAGUAUUUAUAGAAUGCAACAUACACUGACCACAUCAUAAGCACAUCAGACAGAAUGUGAUAUGAUCCUUGGGGGUGCAAAUUAUCAAGAACUUGGUAUUUGGCGAGGAGAGAUCAAGGGCAAGUUCGAGCAUACUUAGUCAAUAAAGGACAAGCAAUCACUUGUGCGAGAUAUGCGAUCCAAGAGAUUAAUGAUAACAUGCCAAACAGCAAGUCACAUGAUUGGUCGGAAGACAAGGAGUAACUUGGCCGCAGGACGAAGUUGGAAAUCACCACUAUGUGACCACAUAGUGGCAAGGAGUGUGCUGUCACACAUAUGGAUGCAGAAAACUGUUGGGCAAAUUUUGGGACAUCUAUGCGACCGCAUAGAAAUCAACUACGCAGCCACAUAGAAAUAAGCGGCAAUCGAAUUUCCUAGUUUGGUUAGAUAUUCAAUUUAUUUGAUAUUUUAUAAUCUUUUGGACGUAUUUUCCUUUUUAAACUAGGUUUCUAGAGUUUUAUUCCGUUUUAAACUUUGUUUGAGGAUUUAGUAUAAAUAGGCUCAUUAUUCUCAUUGUAAAACAAGACUUUUCAUAUGAAUUAUUGAGAG
rnacentral:lncRNA from 1 species